UAUUUUGUGGCAACAUUAAAUUCAGAAUUUUGGGGCCUUAUUUGGGAUAAUGUCUUUUGGAAUCUGAUUUCUUUCAAAGGUUCAUCGAGGUUGAUAUUGAGACAGCAAUGCAACGAGUUUUAAAGAGACAUAUAUUGACUGGAAAACCUCCAGAUGUUGCUAAAUGGCGGAUAGAGUACAAUGACCGGCCUAAUGCAGAGCUAAUUGACAAGUCCAAGAAAAAUGCGGAUUUGUUAAUCAAGUCAAUUGAUUUCUGAAGUUGAAUCCCAUCUAUAAUUAGAAGAGAGAAGGAAUUGACAAGUUCAGUUCAAUCGUGUUCACCAUUUGAAGCAAAAUGAUGAAUGACAGUCUAAUGGCGAAGUCAUGAACAAGUUGAAUAAAAAUGCAGAUACUGACUUGUUUAAGUUAAGGUGACUCGGACAAGAAGAGUAGGAAGCGACUGCUGGGUUAGUGAAUCUUGUUUCUUCUAAAGUUAAUAAUGAAAAGUAGUAAAUUUAUUUAUUUAUUUUUGGUUAUACAAAUGGAAACAGUACGAUUGCUUUUGUCAUUAUGUAGUUUUACGCUGUAUUUGGUUAGGAGAUUUGGAGAGGGAUUUAGAAAUGAAAAGGAAAAAUGUGUGUGAAACUAGGUAAAAUGUAGGUAUGUUUUAUUCAUAUUUCACCUAUUUUUUCCAUUUUUCUUUCCAAAUCUCUCUCCAAAUUCCCCAACCAAACACAGCAUUAAUGUAUAUAUUGUAAGUUAUUGAUCAAGAAUUUGAAACCGUUUAUAUUUC